UCUAAACCGGCGAGAGCCGCACCGGCACCGGGCCCCGCAGAUCUCACGCUCCCCCGGCAUCACCGCAUGCUGUCGGGAGACGACACCGAACAUCCUGGCCUACAACUGGAUCCAUGGUCCAUCAAAAAGACAUCUCCGCACGGACUCCCUCCAGCUUCACUGAAGUGGACCAUACCAGUGGAAAGCAUUCUAGUUGUUACAGAAGAGGUUGAUUAUGCAGAAGAAAAGAAAUGAUCCAUGGAGCCUAAGAUGGUUAGAAAAGAUGUGACUCAAGUACAUUAACCUUUAGUGGGAGGAAAAACACUUCCUCCAUCACCCCAAGAAGGAAAGAGAAAACGGGUGCAGAUGCAGGUGUGUAGAGUGGCCGCAGCCAUUCUGUCUCCAUGAGGACCGCCAGCCUUAAGAUUGUGCUGACGCCCGGAAAGCAGUGAAUCAGGAUGGAAGAUGCCAGGUCGUGAUUCAGACCAACCCUGAAGCGCAUCUUACCUCUGGACUUUCCAGUCACAUAAGCCAAUAAAUCUUAUUUUUUU